rnacentral:rRNA from 1 species
UAGGGAAUCUUCGGCAAUGGACGAAAGUCUGACCGAGCAACGCCGCGUGAGUGAAGAAGGUUUUCGGAUCGUAAAACUCUGUUGUUAGAGAAGAACAAGGACGUUAGUAACUGAACGUCCCCUGACGGUAUCUAACCAGAAAGCCACGGCUAACUACGUGCCAGCAGCCGCGGUAAUACGUAGGUGGCAAGCGUUGUCCGGAUUUAUUGGGCGUAAAGCGAGCGCAGGCGGUUUCUUAAGUCUGAUGUGAAAGCCCCCGGCUCAACCGGGGAGGGUCAUUGGAAACUGGGAGACUUGAGUGCAGAAGAGGAGAGUGGAAUUCCAUGUGUAGCGUUGAAAUGCGUAGAUAUAUGGAGGAACACCAGUGGCGAAGGCGGCUCUCUGGUCUGUAACUGACGCUGAGGCUCGAAAGCGUGGGGAGCAAACAGG